ACCUGCAAAACAAGGGAAAAGGGGGUCAGGAGUCCACCGGGGAUGCCCCGGCGGAGACCCUCCGACGUUCAGGUCAGGUUUCCUAAAUAAGAGUCGUGUCCUUAGACAAGAGUUGCAGAGAAAAUAAAAAUGGAGUCCAGGCAGGAGAAGAAAAAGAAGAAGAUACCCCAUUGCAAGAGAAGACCCCCCAGUAUAUAGUGCUUCCUGUCCUUGUCACUCAGGCCCGUACGUACGGGCGUGUCAGGCACCUACUCCAUGCGUAACGGCCAUUUAAUGCUCUUCAGAGCGCAUGCGGGUAGGGCUGGUGAGUGAUUGGGCCUACUCCCUUAUGGGGCUUGUGCUCAUAUCUGAUCCGGAUCACCCCGGGUUGCCGACCCAGGCCCGUGAAGUCGAGCCGCCUCUCGAGCGUAUGAUCUAAUGGGUUUUGGACCUGUGGCCUUCUUUUGGGCCCGACCUUAUUCCUGGGCUAGGAAAGAUCUGGAGGUUAUCAAUUACCCCUUUACCUCCUCAGCAGUUAUUCCAUGACUGGUGAGGGGGUAAAUACUUAGGCUCCACUAAUGACCGUGCAGCUCAAGAACGGCUCUUGUCAAAACGUCCUUUUCUUGCCUUAUUUUUUUAUCUCUUUACUUUGGUGUUUAAAUGUAUGGCGAUCUGGAGAUGUGUAUUUGAUGAUGAAUGAUAUUUCACCUCGGCCUGUGCCUCGUCAUUAUUUUCUACUCACACUGUCUUCUGGUUUUGUCAACUUUACUUAUUUGAUGGACCAGGCCGGCUCUACUGGGUCUUUGCUGGUCGAACCGAGCCGGGCUAAGAGCUCGGAGUCUGGUUAAGCUUCUGACUUGCAAGUUUUUCUUAUUCUCAUGAGGGCAUUUCUGUUUUUGGCUCACGAUCUCGUCAUUGUUGCGAGCUCAGGAAUAUAAUACCUUGUUCCUCUUGAGAUAACCUUCUGGUAGUCGGUCCGGUUUGAGCUGUGAGCUCCACUGGGAUAGAGUACUCGUUCUUUUGUUGUUUUCCUCUUCCUGGGUUAUUCUUGCUGAACGUAUGUUUAUUGUGAGUUAAUCCGAGCUGUGAGCAUGGUCCUUUGCCUUCGUUUAUCCUUUUAUGCGUUCCUGCAUUUGUGGGCCUUUUCGUAGAGGGAGCUCGGUUCUCUGUUAUUUCUUCUGUAUUUAGCUUUAUUCUACUUGAGUGUUUUUUCUGUUGCGAGUUCAUCUGAGCUGGGAGCUCGGUUCUUUGCUUUUUUCUUAGGCUUUUGUGCCUACAGUCUGUAACGCCUCUUGUAUCGCGAGCUUGGGAGUUCGAAAUUUCGCUUUGGUGCCCCGAGCUCGUUUGUGAGGUCGGACUUGGUUUGGGAGCUCGGUUCCUUGCCCUGUGCUUAGGCUUUUAUGCCUACAGUCUGUGAUGCUUCUUGUAUCCCUGAGUAUUUUCCGGGCUCUUUGCUGUUUAGACCUCUCUCUAGGCUAGUUGAGCUAGUUCAGUGCCAGCAGUCAAUUCGCGAGGUUGAUGUAGUACCGAGCUCAUUUUUUGAGGUCGGCAUGGGGCUGUGGUGCUCUUGGCUAUUGUGCCCCGAGCUCCUUCGGGAGGUCGGAAUCUGGUUUUUCAUUGGUAGCUUAGGACUCAUCUUUCGCGUGAGAUCGGAGCUGUGUUUUUAUGAGUUGUCCCUGCACAUGAUAUUGGGAAUUUUUGCGUCGGGAGGCCCUUAAGACCUUCACUGACCGUUUUUGUUUUGUUNNNNNNNNNNNNNNNNNNNNNNNNNNNNNNNNNNNNNNNNNNNNNNNNNNNNNNNNNNNNNNNNNNNNNNNNNNNNNNNNNNNNNNNNNNNNNNNNNNNNNNNNNNNNNNNNNNNNNNNNNNNNNNNNNNNNNNNNNNNNNNNNNNNNNNAGAUCUUGGGGAUCCUGGACUUGUAUCCGGGAGAUCUUGGGGAUCCCGGUCUUCUACCUCUGAGGUCUCUAUGUCUCAGGGUCUUCAUUGCCAGGAGAUCUUGGGGAUCCUGGACUUGUACAAGAUUCAGGCUUUUAGGCCUUACUCUUUUUUCUGAAUUUUCUGCAAAAUAAGAGCUUGCGCAGAGCGUAUAUAACAAGAAUGCUCGUUGUUAGUUCAAUAAUAUUCAUCAAUAAUAUGUCGCAUGUGUCACUUGGUUUCAUUUUUCAGAUGCAUGCAAGUAUUAACUCAUGCAAUUUUAGAGAUGCAAUGAACAAUAUUUUUGCAUGUGUAAAUUUCUCCAGGAUUUUUCAAUCUAUAACUCAUAGAGAUAUAUUUUAAUUAAAUUUAGUCUUACUAUUUACAUGCGAAGCAUGCCUUUUAAUAAUCUAUGAAAUCAUUUAUUUUCAAUAAUAUUUAAUUAAAAUAAUUGCCCAUAACUAAAGGCAUACUCAGCAAAGCGCGUUUUGAGCAACUGGAGCAUACGUAUAUAUCAUGAGUAUUUAAAAUAAGUGAUUAAGAGCUUAUAAAUUUUUCCUACAGUAAUUAUGCUAAUGACACGUGGUAAGUUAUGUGUACCUUAUUUCAACAUCAAUUGGCAUGAUUAUCCCAAAUGUGGCGGGCCUCCUCUUCAGAUUUAGAUGCAUCAUUGGAGGUUGCCUUCAUCUCCACUUCUUUAUUUGACGUCAAGAUCAGUUCCGUUGAAUGCGGGAGUGCCCCUUUAAUAAAGUAAUCAGAGGAAGGCCAAUCUUUGAGUGUGGUCACAGAGAGGGACUCCUCAUCGGUCAAAGGAUUGGCUUUCCUCCCUCCCUGGUUCCUUUUACUGGGUCCCAUAUCCUAGAUCCACCGCAAAGCCUCUUUUGACAGCGUCACUUGAAUAGCACUUGUAAUAAGCUAGAAUUUCAUUUUGAAUUUCUUUCCGAAUCUCGGAGAAAUCAUGGAGGCGUUUUCCAGGAAGACGCAGGAACUCGCCCCACUCCUCCUCUGUGGCAUCAGCCUUCCUUUUAGUCUGCGACCGCUGCAAAAUCGACGGCUGCUGGGUGCGAAUAUCUUUCCCUUGAGGCAAGAAAUCCCUCCCGUCGAGAGCUUCCAGCACGCCGGAUUUCCCACUGCUCUGGUUUCCAACGACCGCCACCUGCUGCGGCAGCUCGAUCGUCAACUAGUUCUCGAGCUGCGUGAAUAUGUCCUGCAACUUAUUCACCAUCGGCAUGACUGGGGAACCAAGCGGCGCAGACUGUAAUUGCUGCUGCCAUUGUGCCGCUAGAGGCGACGAUGCAGGUUCCUUUGUCAUUGACAGAUCCAUUGGAAACACUGGGGUGUUUUGGGACUAUCUUACGUUUUUGAACUCUGUUUCAGAGAGAAAUGGAGAGAUAUGCUUGUAGAGGGGAUCUUCAAUGGGUGAUUGGAGACGGACUGGGGCGACUGGACGCGACGAUUAUUUUUAUCCGACCUGAAAAGUGAGCCCGAUCUCCAACGCAACUCCAACCUCGAUCACAGGUCUAAGCUCGAGCACGGAUCCGACCUCGACGAGUAAUCUGACGCUGGGGUCAUUGGAUAUGUCGAGCUCCUUUCAGUUCUGCUACUCCGACCAGCGAAACCAUUGACGGUCUUACUAGCAGUGUUUGAUCAGUCGUUCUUUCGACAAUCAGACGGACUAAGGCCAACCAUGCCGACCUGGGUAUCUCAGUUCACCUUGUCUUCGAGCGUCUGAACUUAUCCACCUCGACCUGCCUGGAUAUUUGAUUAUUUCCUAUUGUCUCCAGGUUGCUCUGAUACUUGAGGGGCGUUGCUCUGCAAUCGAGUUGGAUGGCUAUGACUCGUGUCUCCUCCGACCUGACGCCCUAUCCGACCUGACGCCCUAUCCGACCUGAAAUGUCAGUCCGACCUCCCAUUUUUCACUUAUUAAUUUUCUCUCUAACUUGCUAACCUGGGAUUUUACAGCCGACCUUACAAUUUCAACAAAUAUAUAUAUAUUUUUCAUUCUUUUUUUCCUUUUACAGAAAAGAUUAAAAUCUAUACUCAUAGACAAGCAUUUCGAUCUGAAGUUUCACCUCAUCAGAUCUCAAAGAAAAAGUUAGUAAUAAUAAAAUUCAAUAAAUGUUAAAAUAAACAACGAGGGCAGGAAAAUGAAGAUUAAAAGACUGUCAAGAUAUUCUUGAACCGGCUGGGUCUUUCUUUUCAGCUAGGUUAUUCAGUUGGGUUAUUGUAAAUCUCCAGCUUUCUUUUCGCAUAAGCUUUCAUACCUCCAUGUGGAUCUCAAUGGGUGGAUUUAGGAACUUCGGUGAUGAAAAGAUCUCCUUCGUUCCCACAGACGGUGCCAUUUGAUAACCCUCAAUCUCCCUGGGCUCCAUGUCCGAUAGAUCUGGUUCUCUCUCGUCCCCUAUUAUAUGGAUCUGAUUCCUUUUUGGGCUCUCUGAUGGGUCUGUCAAAUGGGUCUCUCCAUGUUUUCUUUGAGGAAAUGACCUGCAAAACAAGGGAAAAGGGGGUCAGGGAUCCACCGGGGAUGCCCCGACGGAGAUCCUCCGACGUUCAGGUCAGGUUUCCUGAAUAAGAGUCGUGUCCUUAGACAAGAAUUGCAGAGAAAAUAAAAAUGGAGUCCAGGCAGGAGAAGAAAAAGAAGAAGAUACCCCCUUGCAAGAGAAGACCCCCCAGUAUAUAGUGCUUCCUGUCCUUGUCACUCAGGCCCGUACGUACGGGCGUGUCAGGCACCUGCUCCAUGCGUAACAGCCAUUUAAUGCUCUCCAGAGCGC
rnacentral:lncRNA from 1 species